UCUUCCCGAUCUUUUGUCGCUGAAAGCGAUACCUCUCCAGGCGAUACCAUUUCCUCACUCGAUCUCUUUGAACCCAAGUUCGCAGCCGACAGAACGCUUCCUCUUCCUGUAACGCCUUCUCGAACCUCCUAUAUAUAGAGGUCGUCUAUGGCAGGUUUGAGAACAAUCCAGACCAAGGAGACAUGGAAUCCCUAAUCGAAGACGAAGAAUACAUCGCGUCCUGUUCCACUGCAAUCGCGUACGACGCAUCAUCUCCACCGUCCAUCUCCGCCUACGAUGUUUGGAUCAAAAGUCCAGGAAACGAAACGCCGAGGAGCGUCGAGAGAAGUUCUUGCACUGGAUGGGAGUCAAUGUAGAGGAGGAACCACCUAAAUCAGACAAUGUGGAUUGUUUCUCAACCUCUGUCAGUGAAGCAGCAACCACAACGGUUUUGAGGAGUUUGAAAUCUGAAGACGAGUUUAGCUCUUGUCGUUGUGAAGGAAGUAGAUGUUGAGGAGUUAAGUAACGGAAUAGGUUUUGAUGAUGUUGAUGAUAUUAGCUCUAGCCUUUGUUCUGGACACCUUCAACGGGUUCUACAGAUAAGAUUGUGAAGGUGAACGGUGGAGAGAUUGAACCUAAGUUGCUAAACCUGAUGAUCUCAGCUUCAGAACAGCGUGGUGCUGGAGGAAUUAUGAACAAGGUUAAGGAGAAAUGGUUGAGCCGGCUGCAUAGAGCGCGUCUUCUAGCUUCCGUCGGUUCUCAUUGGUUAUUAUAUCCUCUUCUAGCUUCCGCACACUCUGUUCAAGCCAUCUCAAGUUUCCAACUAGCUCUCUCAAAAAAAAAAAGGAGUUCAAGGUCGAAGCUCUCAACAGAUCCGGAGGUGCCAAGAGAGUAAAAAAGACUCUAAAGAUGCCACCUUCAACGGAGUGUUGUAAAACUGGACCAGAUAGAACAGGGUCGCAGCUAAUAAUUUGAGAAAUAGUGUAAUAAAUGGAACACCGGAUUUAACGUGGAAAAUUCCAAAAGGUAAAAACCACGGACAAGGUAGAAGAAUUUAUUACGAGAAAAAUAAUAGGAGUUACAAACUCUCAAUUA